rnacentral:rRNA from 1 species
AAUAAGCGGAGGAAAAGAAACUAACAAGGAUUCCCCUAGUAACUGCGAGUGAAGCGGGAAAAGCUCAAAUUUAAAAUCUGGUGGUCUUUUGCCCAUCCGAGUUGUAAUUUAGAGAAGCGUCUUCCGCGCUGGACCGUACACAAGUCUCCUGGAACGGAGCGUCAUAGAGGGUGAGAAUCCCGUCUUUGGUACGGACCCCCAGGGCUUCUGUGAUGCGCUCUCGAAGAGUCGAGUUGUUUGGGAAUGCAGCUCAAAAUGGGUGGUGAACUCCAUCUAAAGCUAAAUAUUGGCGAGAGACCGAUAGCGAACAAGUACCGUGAGGGAAAGAUGAAAAGCACUUUGGAAAGAGAGUGAAACAGUACGUGAAAUUGUUGAAAGGGAAACGCUUAAAGUCAGUCGCGUCGACCGAGACUCAGCCUCGCUCCGGCUUGGUGUAUUUCUCGGCCCGACGGGUCAGCGUCAAUUUGGUCCCUCGGAUAAUGGCAAGGGAAAGGUGGCACCUUUACGGGUGUGUUAUAGUCUUUUGUCGCAUGCGAGGGGCGAGAUUGAGGAACUCAGCACGCGCGCCCUUCUGGGUGUGUCGGGGCCUCGGCCCACGCCACGUGCUUAGGAUGCUGGCGUAAUGGCUUUAAACGACCCGUCUUGAAACACGGACC